UCUGUCAAAUAAAUAAAUAAAUAAAAUCUUUAAAAAAAAGUAAGGGCCUUUUGGGGAAAGGGCUCCAGCAGCAGACAGGUGACAGGUGACAAGGAUGAAGAAGAGAAUGGGGCCAGUGAUGGGACCCUGAGACCAGAGUGGAUUUGGGGCAAGGUGCCACCGGCCUUGCUGGGGCCACCGCCG